GGGGUUGUGGCUCAGUGGUAGAGUGCUUGCCUAGCAUGUAUGAGGCACCGGGUUCAAUUCUCAGCACCA
rnacentral:tRNA from 1 species